rnacentral:rRNA from 1 species
UACGUAGGGCGCAAGCGUUGUUCGGAUUCAUUGGGCGUAAAGGGUGCGUAGGCGGCGCGGUAAGUCGGGUGUGAAAUUUCGAGGCUUAACUUCGAAACUGCAUUCGAUACUGCCGUGCUUGAGGACUGGAGAGGAGACUGGAAUUUACGGUGUAGCGGUGAAAUGCGUAGAUAUCGUAAGGAAGACCAGUGGCGAAGGCGGGUCUCUGGACAGUUCCUGACGCUGAGGCACGAAGGCCAGGGGAGCAAACGGG